AUUGAACGCUGGCGGCAGGCCUAACACAUGCAAGUCGAGCGAGCGGCGGACGGGUGAGUAAUGUCUGGGAAACUGCCUGAUGGAGGGGGAUAACUACUGGAAACGGUAGCUAAUACCGCAUACCAUCAGAUGUGCCCAGAUGGGAUUAGCUAGUAGGUGGGGUAACGGCUCACCUAGGCGACGAUCCCUAGCUGGUCUGAGAGGAUGAACAGCCAGACUGGAACGGAGACAGGGUCGAGACUCCUACGGGAGGCAACAGUGGGGAAUAUUGCACAAUGGGCGCAAGCCUGAUGCAGCCAUGCCGCGUGAAUGAAGAAGGCCCUCGGGUUGUAAAGUACUUUCAGCGGGGAGGCAUUACCCGCAGAGGAAGCACCGGCUAACUCCGUGCCAGCAGCCGCGGUAAUAC
rnacentral:rRNA from 1 species